GGAGUGUGUGUGGCCCCAAACAGCUGUGACUGUCCUCCAGGUUACCCUGGACUCGGCUGCUUAGCCAUGUGCUCCCCGCCCUGUGCUCAUGGAGGCACCUGUAUGCGCUGGAACGAGUGCCUGUGUCCUCCUGGUUGGACCAGUGCUGGCUGCCACACAGCGAUGUGUGAGCUGCCCUGUGCUAACGGUGGGCGCUGUGUGGGGCCCAAUACCUGCCAGUGUCC